rnacentral:lncRNA from 1 species
UACGAACUCCUUAGAAAAAUCAAGGUUUGCCCUAAUUUUUCAAUUUCCUCUUUUCUCCAUUGCGAAAUCUGAAUCAUCUAAUCAAUCGGUUACUAAUAAUUGGAUGCUCUGUAAUUAAUUUUGCAGGAAUCGAAAUCUCUUAAAGACAUACCGGUUGUGAUUAUGUCAUCUGAGAAUGUUCCUUCAAGAAUCAACAGAUGCUUGGAAGAAGGAGCUGAAGAAUUCUUCCUCAAACCAGUUCAAUUAUCUGAUGUCAGGAAAUUGAGACCUCAUUUGAUUAAAGAAAAAUCCACAAACAAUUGACGAAGAAAAAGAAGAACAAGAAUUUCUUCAACAACUAAUUUUUAUUUAUUUUUUAUUUUAGAAAUCCUGUAAAGAAUUAGACCCCCAAAACUGACUUCUAGAGUUCUACACACACAUUUUCUUGGGAAACUAACCCAAUGUACAAAUCUACUUUUCAAUUUUGCCUUCUAAUUCAAUGAAAUCAUUUUUUCAAAAAAUAAAUUCUUUUUCAAUUUUAUUUUUCUUUUUCAUAUACUCUUUAGUUUAAUUUUAUUUUUGUUGGAGAUGAAACCAAAAAAUUAUGGAGAAUCAUUGUAAAAUGGUGGAUUGAUGGUACAACGAAAAUAAGUAAUCCAUGGAAUUAAACAUAUAAUUUAGAGAUCUUGAUAUGAUUGGUGACCUGUUUCUAAGAAUAUUUACAAAUUUGGUUGUCCCCUAAGUAUUUUAAGAAAAAAAAAUGAAAAUUUUGUAAUUGGUGAGUUGUUUUUUUAAAAAAAAUUUAUAUACAAUUGUUUUAUAUAAAGAUAUUGCAUAUAUUCUUCUCUCUCUUCUUUUUUUUUUCAUAUUUUCCUCAUUUGGGUUGGAGUGUAUGAUUUGAUUUUAUUAAAAAAAUAAGAAUCAAAUUUCGAAAGAGAUUUAGAAAGCAGAUAUGAUUCCAAAUGUUGUUAAAUAAUCACAUUUGAAUUUGAUUCUUUUUGUUUGUUUGUUUUUUCAUUUUUCCUUUUCCAAGUUGAGGAAAUUACAUUUAGAUGCCCACUUGAGAAGCUAAUUGAUAAUUUUGGCCCUUUCCUCUUUUUGUUUCUGACUUAAUACAUUAGGUUUAAAAAAUGUUCAUAUUCAACAAAUAAUUAUUGCGAUUUUUUUUUAUGGAAGAAAUUAUUGGUCACACUCAUGCUAUAUUUACUUAUUUACCCUUUCUAGAAACUUGAGAAUAUAAAAACAUGGCCAAAAUUAACAUUUUCGUCUUCAAACUUGUUUAAUUUAAAUCUUAAUUUAUAUAUUUUUUUUAUCGGUCUAAUUUUAUUUUCCUAUUUUUAAUAAAUUUUAAAUUUACUCGGUCAAUAUUAGUUUUUUUUCUAAAAUUACUUAAAUAAUACAUUUUCAAAGUUAAUAGUAAAAAUAUUGAAAAAUAAGAUAUAAGUAAAAAACAAUAAACUAGUAUAUAUGUGUGAGUAAGUUUAAGAUUUAUUAAAAGUUAAAACUCAACAAUUAAAAAAGUAUAUAAGUUGAAAUUGAAUAAAUUUGUAGUGACUAAAAUAAUAUUUCAACUUAAAAUUAAACUCUUCUUUAUUUUUCUUCUCAUUUUGUGGAUUUUGUGAAUACAAAUGUGGGAUGUGAUGAAAAAUAAAAAGUAAAAGAUACAUUCCAUAUAUGUUAUUUUCUUCUAAAAUAACAGUGAAUUCUUGACCAAACUUAAAAAAAGAAAAAUAAAUUUGAAAUUCUGUUUUCUUAUGUACAAAGCCAUAAAUUUAGAAGAGAAAUAGUGGUUUAUUUGGCUUAAUAUUUAAAUUGAAAAUAAAAAAUUAAGGUUGAGUUCAGUAACUAGUAUGUUUUUUCUAUUUUGAAAUUAAGUCUAUAAACUCUACUUUUUAAUCUUAGAUUUUUUUUGUUUAAGAUUUAGAAAACUAAGCUAAAUUUUAAAAACUAAAUAACAAUAGCUUGUAAAUAUUUUUUUUUAGAAUUUAAGCAAAUAAUUUAACCAUUAUACUCAAUAAAAUCCAAAUCAUUCUAUCAUUAUAUGAAAUAGAGAAAAAAAACAUGUUUAACUAAAAAAACUUAUUGAUUAUCCAAUAGAACUUUAAAAUAUAUAUUAUUCGGAAUAAAUGAAAGUGUAGGUACACAUUAUACGAAUUUACUUUAUAACUUUGACCGUAAGAGACAGAUACAAAAAUUUUAUAUAGGAGGCACCAGACACUAUAUAAUAAAUAUGUUAAAAAAAUAUAUUGACGUUUCACUAUGUUUCAAUAACAUUCACGAAAUUUAUAGCAAUAAAGAAGGACCGACUAUUUCCGCAUGAUUUUUUGUAACGUAAAAUAUGUCAAUUUAAAAUUUGCAUAAAAAAAGAAUGAAUAACGAAUAAUAUAUUUUUUAUAAAAUAUUGUAGAAAAAGAUAAAGUUUGAAUAAACAAUACAUUAAAAUUAAAUUUAAUAUAUAUUAUGGAUAACCUUGUGCUUACGUCGCGGAGAUAUGAAAUUACCAAAAUGACCAACCACUCACCGGCUUUUUACUUCUGUUUCGCUUCAACAUCCACUUCGCUGUCAUUUCAAGGUUUUGGCCGAUUGCUUUCUUUUCUUUCUUCCUUUGAGACUUCUCUUCUCCGAUUCUGCCCAACUUUCAAAUUCUUUCAAUUAAUUUUUGAGUGAGUGUUUUCUUUGCAAAUUUUCUUUUGUUCGGUUACUAGAAUCCAUUAACCCUAGCAACCCAUCCAACUUGAAAAGAGAAAAAUGGUGGAAGGAGAAAAAACGUAAAACUUAAGAUGAAGAGCGAGCAGUGAGGAGAGGAUUGGAGGCUGAUUCGGCUUGAUG